rnacentral:lncRNA from 1 species
UAAAGAUUAAAAAUGACACACGUUGAAUACUUUAAGAAUUAUUAAUAGUUUAUCAAAAAAGGAUUUUUAAGAGAUUCUUUUACCGACAUAUUUUUUAUCCAAAUAGGUAAAUUUAACUAACCUCCUCUGAGAUUUUUAACAAUUAAAGUCACUUUCCUUGCAAUUUUAGAAAUAUCGUUGAUUUCCCUUACUAUUGAAACUAAUGUCAAGAUUCUUCCUAGAGUUAUUUUUGUGCAAAAAUAAUAAACUUACUUUUGAUUUAGGGGUUACAAUUUUUUUUUCCAAUACACAAAUUAAAAUAAGUAAACAUUCUCUUUUUUUAAAAUAAAAUUGAUGACAAAGUUAAUUUUUGUAGUGUUUUUAAAUUAGAGCAAUUAAAAAGUAAAAUAUUUAGAUUAUUUUUUAUAAAAAAAAUAUUAAUAUCAUUUUUUUAAUAAAAAAUGGUAAAAAAAUAUUUUUCAAAGUUUAGAUUAGGAGCACUUAAAAAAUAAAAUAUUUAGAUUAAUUUAAAAAAAUAUUGAUGAUAACAAAAUUUUAUUUAUUUUAAUCGGUGUAUUUAAGAAAAAAUUUGAAGCCCUAAAUCAAAUAACAAAUUUGUUAUUUUUGCAUAGAAAUUAGCUUCGAAAGAAUCUUAACAUUAAUUUAAAAAUUAAAACAAAUCAAUAAUAUUUUUAAAAAUACAAAGAAGGUAUUUUUAUUUGUCAAAAAUUUUAAUAGAAAUCAGUAAAAUUAACAUUUUUUUAAUUAAUUAAAAGUCACGACAAGACAUUAGUGGAUGUCCAAAAUUUGGUGGAUUACGACUAGUCAAAGACCAAGACAUUAUUGGAGGGCCAAGACUUGUUGGAUGCCCAAAUAAUAAAGGGU